rnacentral:rRNA from 1 species
AGAGUUUGAUCCUGGCUCAGAACGAACGCUGGCGGCGCGUCUUAAGCAUGCAAGUCGAACGGCAUGAGGAAGCUUGCUUCCUCAGAGAGUGGCGGACUGGUGAGUAACACGUGGGUGACCUACCCUUGAGAUGGGGAUAGCCAUUAGAAAUAGUGGAUAAUACCGAAUACGCUCUACGGACUCUGGUUUGUAGAGGAAACAGGCUACGGCCUGGCUCGAGGAUGGGCCCGCGUCCCAUUAGCUAGUUGGUGAGGUAAGAGCCCACCAAGGCGACGAUGGGUAUCCGGCCUGAGAGGGUGUACGGACACAUUGGGACUGAGAUACGGCCCAAACUCCUACGGGAGGCAGCAGCUAAGAAUAUUCCGCAAUGGACGAAAGUCUGACGGAGCGACGCCGCGUGGAUGAAGAAGGCCGAAAGGUUGUAAAAUCCUUUUGCUGAUGAAGAAUAAGUGUUGUAGGGAAUGACAUCAUGAUGACAUUAGUCGGUGAAUAAGCCCCGGCUAACUACGUGCCAGCAGCCGCGGUAACACGUAGGGGGCAAGCGUUGUUCGGAAUUAUUGGGCGUAAAGGGCAUGUAGGCGGUUUGGUAAGCCUGAUGUGAAAUCCUGCAGCUUAACUGUAGAAUUGCAUUGGGUACUGCCGAACUUGAAUCACUGAGGGGAAACUAGAAUUCCAGGUGUAGGGGUGGAAUCUGUAGAUAUCUGGAAGAAUACCGGUGGCGAAGGCGGGUUUCUAGCUGAUGAUUGACGCUGAGGUGCGAAAGUGCGGGGAGCAAACAGGAUUAGAUACCCUGGUAGUCCGCACCGUAAACGAUGUACACUAGGUGUCGGGGCAUGAGUCUCAGUGCCAAAGCUAACGUGAUAAGUGUACCGCCUGGGAAGUAUGCCCGCAAGGGUGA